GUUGGGAGAGUUCAGUGGCGUUGUUGCAAGAUUCAGAGGCCGUGCCACCAAAAUAAAACACUGGGUUAAAAACUCUCUAUCAGGACCCACUCCUUUCUUCACCUCACCUCAAAGGUUUCUCCAGCUCAGGAAGGCCUGAGGAGUGACCCCCUCAACAGCAAGCUCCAGCCCACAAGCACUGGAUCUUGGGACGUGCCCGGACUUGUCCCCACCUGCCUUAGCUGUGACCUCAGGUACUGAAUAGCAUCUCUGGGGAGGAAGGACCACAGGUGCCGCUAUUUGGUCAGCAGCCAAGCCCAGACAGACCAAGGCAGUCCCGUCUGUAAUAUUGAGGCUGGGCUUGUACAAGAGUGGGAGAUGACACAGUGGGGACAGAUGACCCCAGCUGAUCCAAGGGACAUUCCGUACCAUAUGGAAUCAUGCUCAGCAUGCAUCGGUAGGGAAAGAAGAAGGACAUUUGGAGUGAUGGUGUUUGUCUUCCCAAGCCACUGUUACAGUGCACAUAGACCAAUGCAGCACAGGCAUAGAAAUAAUGCUGUCACUCAGGAACAAGUUCCUGUGAAGAACAAAACACCUCUCUUCGUGCAACCAAAACUUCUUUUACAUAUACACUUCCAGAACAAGGG